rnacentral:rRNA from 1 species
UUACCUGCAAGUCGAGCGGGGGAGGUUGCUUCGGUAACUGACCUAGCGGCGGACGGGUGAGUAAUACUUAGGAAUCUGCCUAUUAAUGGGGGACAACAUCUCGAAAGGGAUGCUAAUACCGCAUACGCCCUACGGGGGAAAGCAGGGGAUCACUUGUGACCUUGCGUUAAUAGAUGAGCCUAAGUCGGAUUAGCUAGUUGGUGGGGUAAAGGCCUACCAAGGCGACGAUCUGUAGCGGGUCUGAGAGGAUGAUCCGCCACACUGGGACUGAGACACGGCCCAGACUCCUACGGGAGGCAGCAGUGGGGAAUAUUGGACAAUGGGGGGAACCCUGAUCCAGCCAUGCCGCGUGUGUGAAGAAGGCCUUAUGGUUGUAAAGCACUUUAAGCGAGGAGGAGGCUCUUCUAGUUAAUACCUAGGAUGAGUGGACGUUACUCGCAGAAUAAGCACCGGCUAACUCUGUGCCAGCAGCCGCGGUAAUACAGAGGGUGCGAGCGUUAAUCGGAUUUACUGGGCGUAAAGCGUGCGUAGGCGGCUUUUUAAGUCGGAUGUGAAAUCCCCGAGCUUAACUUGGGAAUUGCAUUCGAUACUGGGAAGCUAGAGUAUGGGAGAGGAUGGUAGAAUUCCAGGUGUAGCGGUGAAAUGCGUAGAGAUCUGGAGGAAUACCGAUGGCGAAGGCAGCCAUCUGGCCUAAUACUGACGCUGAGGUACGAAAGCAUGGGGAGCAAACAGGAUUAGAUACCCUGGUAGUCCAUGCCGUAAACGAUGUCUACUAGCCGUUGGGGCCUUUGAGGCUUUAGUGGCGCAGCUAACGCGAUAAGUAGACCGCCUGGGGAGUACGGUCGCAAGACUAAAACUCAAAUGAAUUGACGGGGGCCCGCACAAGCGGUGGAGCAUGUGGUUUAAUUCGAUGCAACGCGAAGAACCUUACCUGGUCUUGACAUAGUAAGAACUUUCCAGAGAUGGAUUGGUGCCUUC